rnacentral:RNase_P_RNA from 1 species
CGCCGUCUUGCCCGUGCCGGCUCGAGGGAGGAAAGUCCGGGCUCCACAGGGUAGGGCGCCGGGUAACUCCCGGGCCGGUCGACAGGCCGGACAGACAGUGCCACAGAAAAGAUACCGCGGAGCCGGAAACCGCAGCUUGCUGCGGCUCGCCGACGACGUAAGGGUGAAAUGGUGGGGUAAGAGCCCACCGCGCUACCGGCAACGGCAGCGGCACGGUAAACCUCGCCUGGAGCAAGGCCGAGCAGCGGCAGGGUACCCGCCCGUUGGAUAGCCGCGGGUAGGCCGCUCGAGCGGCGUGGCAACACGUCGCCUAGAUAGAUGAUGCGCACCGUGGCCUCGGGUCGCGGCACAGAACCCGGCUUACAGGCCUGCCCCU